rnacentral:rRNA from 1 species
GAAACAGGUGCUAAUACCGCAUAACCAUAGUUACCGCAUGGUAACUAUGUAAAAGGUGGCUAUGCUACCGCUUUUGGAUGGGCCCGCGACGCAUUAGCUAGUUGGUGGGGUAAAGGCUUACCAAGGCAAUGAUGCGUAGCCGAACUGAGAGGUUGAUCGGCCACAUUGGGACUGAGACACGGCCCAAACUCCUACGGGAGGCAGCAGUAGGGAAUCUUCCACAAUGGGCGAAAGCCUGAUGGAGCAACGCCGCGUGGGUGAAGAAGGUCUUCGGAUCGUAAAACCCUGUUGUUAGAGAAGAAAGUGCGUGAGAGUAACUGUUCACGUUUCGACGGUAUCUAACCAGAAAGCCACGGCUAACUACGUGCCAGCAGCCGCGGUAAUACGUAGGUGGCAAGCGUUAUCCGGAUUUACUGGGCGUAAAGAGAACGCAGGCGGUCUUUUAAGUCUGAUGUGAAAGCCUUCGGCUUAACCGGAGCAGUGCAUUGGAAACUGGGAGACUUGAGUGCAGAAGAGGAGAGUGGAACUCCAUGUGUAGCGGUGAAAUGCGUAGAUAUAUGGAAGAACACCAGUGGCGAAAGCGGCUCUCUGGUCUGUAACUGACGCUGAGGUUCGAAAGCGUUGGUAGCAAACAGGAUUAGAUACCCUGGUAGUCC